GAGAGAGGCUAGGAAGAGAGGCCAGCUGCUUUUCACAGACGGGUCUGGCUGCUCUGCAAGGGGAUUUUGCUAGGAGAGGCAGCAGAGGAAGCAGGUGCAGGGGGUGGUGUGAGGAGGUCCGUUGUAGUUUGUUUGGUUUUAAGGCUGGAGAAAUCAACAUGGCCAGAUGCCGGAUGCCAUCAAGGGUGGCCUGGGAAAGAAGGGAAGUGGGUGGUACCGGAAGGGAAGCGGGAAGCGCUGCUGGAGCCUUAAGUGGGUGAAAGGGGCUGUCGUGUGAGGCUCCAGGGAGGGCUGGCCUUGAACGUGGAAGAAAGAAACAGGCCCAGAGAGGUAAGGUAGCUUGCCCAAGGUCACACAGCCAACCAGGAGCAGGACAAGGCCGUCACCUCCAGAUGCUAAGCCCUCACCUUCUUGGAACAGACUGACCAUGAGGCCAGCUGGGAUGUGGGCAUGUCCCCCGGGGCUCCCCAUGCCCUGGCAGCCUGUGGCUCAGAGGGAGGCUUGCCCGCUGUGGCACCAGGCACGACUGGGUCUCCCCUCCUGGUGUGCCCCCCUUGCCACCCAGCCUGCCCUCAGCCUGUGGACACCACAUGACUCGAGAGAGCCCCAGAAUUCCAGAGCUGGAGAGGACUCAAGAGUCCCCAGCUCCAGGGACAGAAUCCCCAGCGCACAUUGGGCUGUGCUGGUCCCACGGACCUCAACUGGACACUUGAGUUGAGAGCCAGGCCCCGGGCUGGGUCCUGCUGGGACGGAGGGGACCCAGGCGCGGCCCUGCCCUGGGUUUCCUUCUGCCGGAAGGAAGGAGGGCCCAGGUCCCCAGCCCCGGGUUGGGACGAGGUCCCAGGAGGGUGACCUGCAAAGACUGCCCUGUCCAGGGCUGGGGGGAGACCUGUGCCUCUCGCUCCUGGUCUGGGCUUGGCUGGUCACCGAGGGCCCUGCAGGGGACGUCGCCUGGUCUCUGCUGCAGUGUCAGGUGUGGCUUGGGGCUGGGGCUUCCCAUCAGGUCUACCGGUCUCCUGGUUUUAGUCACACUGUCCCCGGCUGGCUGCCUUCUUCCCACGGCGGAGGGUGGACCUGACAUCAAGGCCAGGCGCGGUGCUGAGCACCUGUCAUCCCAGCGACCCGGAGGCUGAGGCAGGAGGAUGGCAAGUCCCAGGCCAGCCUCAGCAGCUUGCAAGAACAGGCGUCCUGCCUGCUGGCGCCUGGGAGGACGCUCGGCAGCCGCUGGCCCUCACAGCUCGGGUGCUGGCUGGGUCUGGGGUGGAUUCCGUUUUCCAGGUGCUGGGAAGGGGACGGAGGACUGGGGACGGGCCUUGGAGGGACAGGCGCUCAUGGGCAUCAGACGCCUGCUGACCUUGACACCAACAGGCCCGGGGCGUGGGCAGGGCAUCUCCUGCCCUGCGGACCCUGUCCCAGCCUGCGGGAGGAGCCUGGCCUGCCCAGCGCAGUCCAGGGACCGCCCGGGGCCCAGGGCACCCUUCCGUGCCUUUCCUCCUUGGGUCUCCAGCUCAGCUCCCUGAACUGCCCCUUGGUCCCUGAUGUCCCUUCCCCACAGUCCUGACACCUCGCAGAUCCCCGGGGGAGUGGCAGUGUCACCUGUGACUGGGGUCUCCGCCAACAGUUUCUGGUGGGCCCUCUCCUCCCCCCCUCUGCACCCAUUGGCCAGUGUCCUGGGCAGGCAGAGGGGUCAGGGGGCACCGUGGCUGCCAGCUUAGCUCCCGCCUCGGAGGAGGUCCUCGGAGCCGACAGAGGGACUGGGGAGGAGGACGGUUCCACGGGGCCACCGCAGACCCCCCAACCCGCCUCUCGUUUCUCCCUAGAGACAACGGCCUGGGGGGGCCGUGGAGGCUGGGCCUCAACUUGAACUUGACUUCCUCUUCCACCCGGGCGCCUCCCUCCUGGGGCCUGGAAGGAACUGGGCUGGCCGUGAGCCCUUCCCGAGUGGCUAACCUUCCUUGAGGACAUCAGUUCCAGCCUCAGUUUAAAGAUGGCGGGUGACACACGCCCUGGAAUAUCAUUCAGGCUUAAAAAGGCGGGGGAUCCCGCCAUGAGGACACGGUUCCUUGAGCGGAGCCCAUCACAGGGGACACCCCUGCGGGAUCCCACUUCUCUGGGGAACCUGGGCACUAACUGCAGGAGACAGAAGUGUCACCCACAGGGUCAGGUGGUGCUCGGCGGAGUCACCUGCCCAAGGCUAACGGCUGCCCACAGCAGAGUCUGAACUUGAACCUCAGCGCAGGAUCCACCACUUCACGGGAAGUUGGGGAGAAGGACGCGGCAGGCCCCGAGGCACCACGGGCGGAGAGGGGCCCUGCAGGCCUGCACUGCCCCGGGCCUUGGGCUGGAGCACAGCGGCCACGUCCAUCCCACCUGUGGACGGGGGAUGGUGAGCAGCCUCGGGAGCAGGUGUCCCAGGGCUUGGAGGGAAGGGCUGAAUGCAGAGCAGGGCCCAUGGCAAUUCCCCCAGUGUGCUGUGACGGCGGGAAGGACGACACCUCGUGACUGCAUCUUGGGGGCUCCUGCAAGCAGGUAGCACAGGGUUUCAAGAGGAGACUGUGAGGGGGGCUGGGAUCUGGGAGACGUUACUGCCUGAAGGGACAGUCUGGAGGGAAGAUGUCUAAGCGCUUCUAAGAAUUUGCAACUAGACUGCGUGACUGGAGUGUAGGAGUGAAAACAGUGAAUCAGUUCUUUGGGUUGCAAUGAUAGAAAGGCAGCUUUCAGAACUGGCCGGGCGUUGGGCUUCAGGUAGAGCUGGAUCCAGGUGCUCAAGGGAUGUCAUUUAUAUCCUUUCUUUCUUGUUCCAUCUUUCUCCUUCCACUUCACUUGUACUUACUGGCUUCACGCUGGGGUAGAGUCUGUCCACACCUCAGGGCUCCCCCCGCCCAUUUCAAUCUCAGUUUGCAAAGACCAUCUCUUUCCCAGGCUGACUCUGAUUGGCCCAGCUCCCGCGCCAACCCAGCCCUGAGCCGGGCAUGUGCUCAGGGUUGUGGUCCAGGCUGGGGCUUGGGGUCAGCUCUGCCUGGAGCGAAUGCUCUGACUUUGACAGUGGAGUCAGGGAAGUCCCUUCAAGGAAGACCAAGAAGUUUCCAGAAGAAGGGACAUGGACCCUGAGCCAGCAGAGGCCCAGAUGUCCCCUCCAGGUGGCCAGGGCUAGGGCUGCAGGGGCAGCUCUUCCGCUGACCGCACCCCACGCCCCCACCAGCCUCCCCUCGCUCACCCCUCCUUCCCGGACCCUCUGUGCACAGCCCUCUGCCUCCCUGGAGGGUGCAGUCCGCGCCCACAGAGGUGCCCGCCACACCUCCUGGCAGCCCAGCAUGCGCCGGCCCACCCCACCCCGCGGCGACUUCAUCACUGGGAUGAUCGCGAAGGUGGCCAGAGACACUGGGCCUCGGGCUGACCUGUCCUUCCCUGCUCCACCUCCCGCCCGCGCCGCCCUUGGCCACGGGGAGCACGGGCGUCCCUGCUCAGCUGACCUGGGUCAGGGUGGCGCCCACAGUCCCAGGCAGCCUCCCGGCCGUGCCAGGGCCACCAGAGAACAGGCCUGGCCCUGGCCCUGGUAAACGCUGUCAUUUGUUCAAAAUUGGAAGAGCCUGCCGGCCCCGGGUGACGUUAUCUGUGAUCACUGGGUCCCCGGGGUUUGGUCCAAGAUGCCAUCGGCGGGGGGAGCCCUAUGUCCUCUUCCCUUCUGGGCCCCACAUCCCCGGUCCCAAUGGCCGUCACUCCUGCCACCUCACUCCCCUCCGGUCCUGUCUGCAGGCAGAGGCCAAUGCCCUCAGGCAGAGGUGGCAUGUGAGGACAGGGGGCUGUAGAGGCAGCGAUGCUCUUUGGAAGUCAGGGAAGCAAGUCUUCGAGCAGCGGCCGGCAAGCCAGGAGGAAAGGCUCCCUGUAGGAACCAGGGGAUGGGCUUCCAGGCAAGGGAACAGCACGUGCAAUGGUCCUGAGGUGGGAGAGUGGUUGGUACAUUGGGAGCACUGAGCAGAGGGGACCACAGCAAGGCUAGUGACCAGGGAAAGUGAUCAAAAUAAGUCUUGACGUGUGGCCACAGUAGGAUCAUUGGGGCCCUGCUGGGCACGAGGCUGAAUGAGGCAUGAUGGGAAAUCAGUGGUGGUGUCACGCUGCAGUUGGACACGAUCUGAUCAGCAGGAUCCAAGUCAGCAGGAUCACUGAAGGCUGGGCAGAGUGAAGGGUCAAGAGAAGCCGAGGCAGGCAGGGGCAGCUGCCCUGAUGGCCAUAGCCAGGUUG